GACGAACGCUGGCGGCGUGCUUAACACAUGCAAGUCGAGCGGAAAGGCCACUUCGGUGGUACUCGAGCGGCGAACGGGUGAGUAACACGUGAGUAAUCUGCCCCUGGCUUUGGGAUAGCCACCGGAAACGGUGAUUAAUACCGGAUAUGACCGACUUCCGCAUGGUUGUUGGUGGAAAGUUUUUCGGCCAGGGAUGUGCUCGCGGCCUAUCAGCUUGAUGGUGAGGUAAUGGCUCACCAUGGCUUCGACGGGUAGCCGGCCUGAGAGGGUGACCGGUCACACUGGGACUGAGACACGGCCCAGACUCCUACGGGAGGCAGCAGUGGGGAAUAUUGGACAAUGGGCGGAAGCCUGACGCAGCAACGCCGCGUGGGGGAUGACGGCCUUCGGGUUGUAAACCUCUUUCGACCGGGACGAAGGAUUCGUUUGACGGUACCGGUAGAAGAAGCACCGGCUAACUACGUGCCAGCCGCCGCAGUAAUAC
rnacentral:rRNA from 1 species